rnacentral:rRNA from 1 species
UACAGAGGUCUCAAGCGUUGUCCGGAAUUAUUGGGCGUAAAGAGCGUGUAGGCGGCCAGAUAAGUCCGCUGUGAAAUCUCGAGGCUCAACUUCGAGCUGUCAUCGGAAACCAUCUGGCUAGAGUCCGGGAGAGGAGAGUGGAAUUCCUGGUGUAGCGGUGAAAUGCGCAGAUAUCAGGAGGAACACCGGUGGCGAAGGCGGUCUCUGGGCUAGCUGAACU